rnacentral:rRNA from 1 species
UACGUAGGCAGCGAGCGUUGUUCGGAGUUACUGGGCGUAAAGGGUGUGUAGGCGGUCGUUUAAGUUUGGUGUGAAAUCUCCCGGCUCAACUGGGAGGGUGCGCCGAAUACUGAGAGGCUAGAGUGUGGGAGAGGAAAGUGGAAUUCCUGGUGUAGCGGUGAAAUGCGUAGAUAUCAGGAGGAACACCGGUGGUGUAAACGGCUUUCUGGACCAUAACUGACGCUGAGGCACGAAAGCGUGGGUAGCAAACAGG